rnacentral:rRNA from 1 species
GAUGAACGCUGGCGGCGUGCCUAAUACAUGCAAGUCGAGCGAACGGACGAUAAGCUUGCUUCUCUGAUGUUAGCGGCGGACGGGUGUGUAACACGUGUAUAACCUACCUAUAAGUCUGGUAUAACUUCGGGAAACCGUAUCUAAUACCGUAUAAUCUUUUGAACCGCAUGGUUCAAAAGUGAAAUACGGCCUUGCUGUCACUUAUCGCUGGAUCCGCGCUGCUUUAGCUAGUUGGUAAGGUAACGGCUUACCAAGGCAACGAUGCAUAGCCGACGUGAGAGGGUGGUCGGCCACACUGGAGCUGAGACACGGUCCAGACGACUACGGGAGGCAGCAGAAGGGAAUCUUACGCAAUGGGCGAGAGCAUGACGGAGCAACGCCGCGUGAGAGAUGAAGGUCUUCGGAUCGGAAAACUCUGUUAUUAGGGAAGAACAUAUGUGUAAGUAACUGUGCACAGCGUGACGGUACCUAAUCAGAAAGCAACGGCUAACUACGUG